rnacentral:pre_miRNA from 1 species
AGUGGAACUGCUGGGUCAUAUGGUUAACUCUAUGUUUAACUUUUAGGGGGACUGCCAAACUGUUUUCUAAAGUUGCUGUACCAUUUUAUAUUCCCACCAGCAAU